CCCCGGCGCUGCCAGGCGGGGGGAGCCGGUCCCCGCUGCCCCCCGGCGUGCCCUUGUGUCCCGGAAUAUGGGCAAGGAGCGGGAGCAUCCACGCGGCGCUGCGGUGGGGCAAACGCGCUCCGAUUCCACACAUUAACAGAAAAAUUGGUGCUAACAGUGUUGCCGGUUUUAAAAUAAUAUUUCAUUUGUGCCCAAGGUCUUUUAGAACUGAUUGUGUUUGAGUUCAGGGCAUUAAAUGUCUCUUCAUUUAAACAUCCCGAGGAAAAAAAAUUAUGCAUUGGAGGAAUUAAAGUCUUGACCCUAUUUUAAUGGCCUCGAUGCAAGUCUUUAAACGUGGGAAAGGGCUGCUCGCUGAGAAUUUUACCUGUGCCGAAGUCUGUAGGAUUGGGGCCUUGGAAAAGGCAUUAUUUUAUCAGCUGUUGUUUGCAUCUGUCAGAGUUUGGGGUAACUUGAUAAAUGUUAAACAGGGAAGCAGAAAGUGCUGGUGAGGCCAGACUCGGAGAUAACGGCACAUUCAAUAGCUUAAUUUCACAAUUAGUUUACUGUAUUAUUGGAAGCAAAUCAUAUUUCACUGUGCCUACACUAGUGCUCUAUUUUUAGCCAUAAUCUAGCAAAAAAAGGAGGAACCUACUGAGAUGUAUUAUAACAUCGAAUGUGAACAAUUCUGUUAUCUCUCUUUUUACUCACUUUGUGUCAUACAUCUGGUUUGGAAUAAAGCUCAUGUAUUAAUUGAACAGAACUACCGUGGAUGGUUUGGAGGCUGCAAUUCCAAGGCAGAGGAAAGUUUCACACAACUCUGCAAGGAACCCAGCAAGUUACAGCCAUGCAAAAAGCAUCCAAGCACACAGUCUGCUCUCCCAAUAACUGGCAUAGCCAGAACAACUAUUUUUUAUUAAUUUAGAAUUACAAUGUAUUUGCCUCUUUGGUUGCACUUUUUUUGUUUUACUUUUCUUGAUUGUUUUUUUCAGGGUAAAGUUGUAAAUGAAAACGGCAUUUGAAAUGCUUCGAUGUAACCUUUGUGUUGCAUCAUCUUUUUUAUUGUAUUUUUAAGAACGAAAAGGAGAUAUAAAAUAAAAUUGAAGGAAUAUACCAAUCUACUGCCUUAGUACCAAACAUUUGAUCCCUUCCCUUUCCCCUGUGAUACAGACAGAGAUGGUUGCUGGAAGAAUAAAGCACCUUUCACGAGAGAUUUUGGCUGGACUCUCCCCAAAGUGUACAGUGGAGAAGAGACUGAGAAGAGCAAUGCUGUGAAGCUAAGAGAAGGAAGAAGAAACAUGUGCAAGACAGAAAAGGAAAAGAAAAACCGAUUGAUUUUAGUGGAAGAUGCACUCCUUUCCUAAAUAAAUUUUGUUGAUUUUGUUCAUA